AGUGAACGCUGGCGGUAGGCCUAACACAUGCAAGUCGAACGGCAGCACAGUAAGAGCUUGCUCUUACGGGUGGCGAGUGGCGGACGGGUGAGGAAUACAUCGGAAUCUACUUUUUCGUGGGGGAUAACGUAGGGAAACUUACGCUAAUACCGCAUACGACCUACGGGUGAAAGCAGGGGAUCUUCGGACCUUGCGCGAUUGAAUGAGCCGAUGUCGGAUUAGCUAGUUGGCGGGGUAAAGGCCCACCAAGGCGACGAUCCGUAGCUGGUCUGAGAGGAUGAGCAGCCACAGUGGAACUGAGACACGGUCCAGACUCCUACGGGAGGCAGCAGUGGGGAAUAUUGGACAAUGGGCGCAAGCCUGAUCCAGCCAUACCGCGUGGGUGAAGAAGGCCUUCGGGUUGUAAAGCCCUUUUGUUGGGAAAGAAAAGCAGCAGGUUAAUACCCCGCUGUUCUGACGGUACCCAAAGAAUAAGCACCGGCUAACUU
rnacentral:rRNA from 1 species